rnacentral:rRNA from 1 species
AGAAUCAACGCUGGCGGCGUGCCUCAGACAUGCAAGUCGAACGCGAAAGUCCCCUUCGGGGGGCAAGUAGGGUGGCGCACGGGUGAGUAACACGUAGGUAAUCUACCUUUGGAUGGGGAAUAACAAUCGGAAACGAUUGCUAAUACCGCAUAAUGCAGCGGCACCUAAUGAUGACAGUUGUUAAAGCGGGGGAUCGAAAGACCUCGCGUCUGAAGAGGAGCCUGCGGCGGAUUAGCUAGUUGGUAAGGUAAUGGCUUACCAAGGCGACGAUCCGUAACCGGCCUGAGAGGGGCGGUCGGUCACACUGACACUGACAUACGGGUCAGACUCCUACGGGA